GUUAAAUUAAGGUAUAUUGGUAAAAAUUUAAUGAACAGACGGGACAUUGCUUCAAACAUUCAAGGCGUGCCAAUGUUAUUAACUGGAAGGUCCAUUAAAGUUUUUUCUUUGUUUAAACAAAGAAUUUGCAAAAAUACCAUUAAGCAUGCUGCAGACUAUAUUGGAAAAGAAGCAGAGUUAGUAAAGCAGUCUGCAGAAUUAGCAAAAACUUGGAAAAAUAUAUGUUAUUACAUCGCUUUCCCACUUGUUGGAGCUUCAGCCGUUUGGUGUUUUUAUAAAGAAUACGGUCAUCACGAUGAAGAGAACGAAGAGCCUAUUCAGUAUGAUUAUAUGAGAAUUCGCAGGAAGCCAUUUCCUUUUAAAGAUGGAGACAAAACACUUUUUUGGAAUCCUAAAGUCAACCAUUAGUCUUUAUAAUA